CGGGUGGGUAACACGUGAGUGACCUGCCUUUUAGACUGGAACAACUUACCGAAAGGUGAGCUAAUGCCGGAUGAGUUAUAUAAGUGCAUGUUUAUAUAGGAAAAGUUGGGGAGACCUGACGCUGAAAGAUGGACUCGCGUCCCAUUAGCUAGUUGGUAGGGUAAUGGCCUACCAAGGCGACGAUGGGUAGCCGGCCUGAGAGGGUGGCCGGCCACACUGGGACUGAGACACGGCCCAGACUCCUACGGAAGGCAGCAG
rnacentral:rRNA from 1 species